UACGUAGGGUCCGAGCGUUGUCCGGAAUUAUUGGGCGUAAAGGGCUCGUAGGCGGUUUGUCGCGUCGGGAGUGAAAACACCGGGCUUAACUCGGUGCUUGCUUUCGAUACGGGCAGACUGGAGGUAUGCAGGGGGAGAACGGAAUUCCUGGUGUAGCGGUGAAAUGCGCAGAUAUCAGGAGGAACACCGGUGGCGAAGGCGGUUCUCUGGCCAUUACUGACGCUGAGGAGCGAAAGCGUGGGGGAGCGAACAGG
rnacentral:rRNA from 1 species